AUGCAACUUACGAGUCCCAAAUAGGACGAAACGCGUGUCCUGGAU
rnacentral:hammerhead_ribozyme from 1 species